CCUACGGGAGGCAGCAGUGGGGAAUAUUGCACAAUGGGGGAAACCCUGAUGCAGCGACGCCGCGUGAGCGAGGAAGUAUUUCGGUAUGUAAAGCUUUAUCAGUAGGGACGCAAAAAGACGGUACCUUACUAAGAAGCCCCGGCUAACUACGUGCCAUCAGCCGCGGUAAUACGUAGGGGGCAAGCGUUUUCCGGAUGUACUGGGUGUAAAGGGAGCGUAGAGGGGAAGGCAAGCCAGAAGUGAAAGGGCAGGGCUCAACCCUGUACAUGCUUUUGGAACUGGGAGGCUAGAGUGGAGGAGAGGUAAGUGGAAUUCGUGGUGUAGCGGUGAAAUGCGUAGAUAUUAGGAAGAACGCCAGUGGCGAAGGCAGCUUGCUGGACUGUAACUGACGUUGAGGCUCGAAAGCGUGGGGAGCGAACAGGAUUAGAUACCCCAGUAGUC
rnacentral:rRNA from 1 species